AGCAGCCGCGGUAAUUCCAGCUCCAAUAGCGUAUAUUAAAGUUGUUGCAGUUAAAAAGCUCGUAGUUGAAUUUCGGGGUCAGUAGGUUGGUCAUGCCUUCGGUAUGUACUGGUCUCACUGAUUCCUCCCUCUUGAAGAACCGUAAUGUCAUUAAUUUGAUGUUGCGGGGAAACAGGACUGUUACUUUGAAAAAUUGAGUGUUUAAAGCAGGCUCACGCUUGAAUACAUUAGCAUGGAAUAAUGAAAUAGGACGUUCGAUCCUAUUUUGUUGGUUUCUAGGAUUGACGUAAUGAUUAAUAGGGAUAGUUGGGGGCAUUAGUAUUCAAUUGUCAGAGGUGAAAUUCUUGGAUUUAUUGAAGACUAACUACUGCGAAAGCAUUUGCCAAGGAUGUUUUCAUUAAUCAAGAACGAAAGUUAGGGGAUCGAAGACGAUCAGAUACCGUCGUAGUCUUAACCAUAAACUAUGCCGACUAGGGAUCGGAUGAUGUUAAUUUUUAAUGACUCAUUCGGCUACCG
rnacentral:rRNA from 1 species